rnacentral:sRNA from 1 species
UUCCUCUAGAUGUCCUCCCAUUCCUGAGGAAGAUGAAAUCACUGACCAUGUCUCAAGUAGUCUGAAUGAAGGCAGUAAGAGCACUAGUGGUGAUGGAAAGAAGACAGAAGUAGGGAAAGAUAAAAUGUUUGAGGAGUCCGAAGUGUGGUGAUUUGUUGGCUCAUAAGUGUGGUCAUUUGCUGAGUGUGGAGGCAGCUCCUAAACAUUGAUGUUUUAGAAAUAUUAUCGUCUUUUUUUAGUAUAAUUUCAGUCAUGUCAUUAUGAAUGAAUACAAUUAUUUUAUUGAUUUUAAUUGUUCUCACAAUGUAUAUUGAAAAUGGUUUGGGUGCAUGAAGAGAGGAAAUGCAAAUUUAAAAAUAGAAAUACAGAAGGCCUUGGAUGGUUUUUUAUUUCAAUGCCUCAGGCAUCACGUUUGGCUAGGCAUUCUUUAUUGUACAAAAUGUAUAUGUAUGUAAAAAGACAUACUUGUAUGCUGUGCCAUGGUCAAGAAGGAAAAGUAGUGACAGCUAAGAUUAUUUUAAAUCAUGUCAGAGAACAAAAAAAAAAAAAAAAAAAAAAAAAAAAAAGGUAAAUUUGCAAACAGUUUCAAAAACUGAAGCUAUGCCCUAGUGGUACAAUGUCAUAGGGUUUAAGUCUGCAGUUGGUUGUCCCCCUUUGUUAAUUGUUAAACCUUUAUGUUGUGCUUCCCCUUUAUCUUGUGACUAACUGCAAUGAGCCAUUAGUCUCGACUGUUUAUAAAAUGUAUUUGUCAAUAUCACUGGCACACUGAUUGUUUAUCUAUAGCUUAUGCAAUGAAUAACAUUCUUAUAAAUGUCAGGCUUGCGCUGUUAUUUCACACACAAUAAAUCUAUUGAUAUUUUGUCAGAAAGUA